GCGGGUGUAGCACAAUGGUAGUGCUUCUGGUUUCCAACCAGACUAUGUGGGUUCGAUUCCCAUCACCCGCU
rnacentral:tRNA from 1 species